CCUUAUUCAUAUAUGUUUUUGUCCUGUUCUCUAGGAGUAGCUAUGAUUGAGCUUAGACGUCAUGAUGCUAGUAUAUACUUUUAUACUUCAUUCGCGUGUCAUUUUACUGUUGUUAUUUUUGUGUUAGAUAGUUUGCUUGAGGACAAGCAAAGACUUAAGUUUGGGGGUAUUUGAUGAGUGGGAUUUAUACCCACGAAUCGGAUCAUUUAUUGCUUACAACAUUA
rnacentral:lncRNA from 1 species